rnacentral:rRNA from 1 species
GAUGAACGCUGGCGGCGUGCCUAAUACAUGCAAGUCGAGCGAACGGACGAGAAGCUUGCUUCUCUGAUGUUAGCGGCGGACGGGUGAGUAACACGUGGAUAACCUACCUAUAAGACUGGGAUAACUUCGGGAAACCGUAGCUAAUACCGGAUAAUAUUUUGAACCGCAUGGUUCAAAAGUGAAAGACGGUCUUGCUGUCACUUAUAGAUGGAUCCGCGCUGCAUUAGCUAGUUGGUAAGGUAACGGCUUACCAAGGCAACGAUGCGUAGCCGACCUGAGAGGGUGAUCGGCCACACUGGAACUGAGACACGGUCCAGACUCCUACGGGAGGCAGCAGUAGGGAAUCUUCCGCAAUGGGCGAAAGCCUGACGGAGCAACGCCGCGUGAGUGAUGAAGGUCUUCGGAUCGUAAAACUCUGUUAUUAGGGAAGAACAAAUGUGUAAGUAACUAUGCACGUCUUGACGGUACCUAAUCAGAAAGCCACGGCUAACUACGUG